rnacentral:rRNA from 1 species
ACUCAAAUGAAUUGACGGGGGCCCGCACAAGCGGUGGAACAUGUGGUUUAAUUCGAUGCUACGCGAAAAACCUCACCUGGGCUUGACAUGUAAGCAGUAGUGAAAUGAAAGUGGAUCGAACCGUCAAGUCGGUAACUUACACAGGUGCUGCAUGGCUGUCGUCAGCUCGUGUCGUGAGAUGUUGGGUUAAGUCCCGCAACGAGCGCAACCAUUGCCCUAUGUUGCCACUUCAGUUGCUAGCUUGCUAGUAGCUGGAAGCACUCUUAGGGGACUGCCUGGGAUAACCAGGAGGAAGGUGGAGAUGACGUCAAGUCAGUACGGCCUUUAUGCCCAGGGCGACACACGUGUUACAAUGGAUGGUACAAAGGGUUGCCAACCCGCGAGGGGGAGCUAAUCUCAAAAAACCAUCCUCAGUUCGGAUUGGAGUCUGCAACUCGACUCCAUGAAGCCGGAAUCGCUAGUAAUGGUGGAUCAGCACGCCACCGUGAAUACGUUCCCGGGCCUUGCACACACCGCCCGU